rnacentral:rRNA from 1 species
UGCCUAUUGGUUWAAUUAUAUUAGGUAAAUUCUGCCCAGUGAAAUUUAAACGGCCGCGGUACCUUGACCGUGCAAAGGUAGCAUAAUCACUUGCCUUUUCAUUGAAGGCUAGAAUGAAAGAAUAAACAAGGAUACAACUUUACCUUAUAAUUAUAUAAAAAUUAUUUUUCAGGUGAAGAAACCUGAAUCCUAUAAAAAGACAAAAAGACCCUAUCAAGCUUUAUAUUUAAUAAUACCCUCUAUUUAAAAUAUUUGGUUGGGGCGACUAAUGAGAAUUUAUAUUCUCUCAUAACUAUAACGAAAUAUAUUUCUCUUUUCCUAAUAUAAUUAUAAUAUAAAAAAGCUACUGUAGGGAUAACAGGCUUAUAUUUUCUUAGAGUUCAAAUUAAAGAAAAUGAUUGGCACCUCRAUGUUGGCUUAGGGAACCUAUUUCUUGCAGAAGAAAAAUAAGGUGGUUUGUUCAACCAUUAAACCCCU